rnacentral:rRNA from 1 species
GACGAACGCUGGCGGCGUGCUUAACACAUGCAAGUCGAACGGAAAGGCCCUGCUUUUGUGGGGUGCUCGAGUGGCGAACGGGUGAGUAACACGUGAGUAACCUGCCCUUGACUUUGGGAUAACUUCAGGAAACUGGGGCUAAUACCGGAUAGGAGCUCCUGCUGCAUGGUGGGGGUUGGAAAGUUUCGGCGGUUGGGGAUGGACUCGCGGCUUAUCAGCUUGUUGGUGGGGUAGUGGCUUACCAAGGCUUUGACGGGUAGCCGGCCUGAGAGGGUGGCCGGCCCACUGGGGCCGAAGAGAGGCCCCAGUCCCCAAGGGGCGGCAGGGGGGGGAAUACUGACAAAGGGGGGGGGCGUGAGUGACGAAGACCCGCGGGGCGGAAGACGGGCUUAGGGUGGAAAAACAGAUUUGGACGGAACGGAGCGGAGCGUGACGGUACCGGAUAAAAAAGCCCCGGCUAACUACGUG